UACGAAGGGGGCUAGCGUUGCUCGGAAUCACUGGGCGUAAAGCGCACGUAGGCGGAUUGUUAAGUCAGGGGUGAAAUCCUGGAGCUCAACUCCAGAACUGCCUUUGAUACUGGCGAUCUCGAGUCCGGGAGAGGUGAGUGGAACUGCGAGUGUAGAGGUGAAAUUCGUAGAUAUUCGCAAGAACACCAGUGGCGAAGGCGGCUCACUGGCCCGGUACUGACGCUGAGGCACGAAAGCCAGGGGAGCGAACGGG
rnacentral:rRNA from 1 species